GAUCAAAGAGGAAGGAGAGCAGCUUAAUUGGGGUACUUGGGUGAGCAUCAUACUUGAUUCUUCUCUGUUAGAUUGUGCUCUGGGGAGGUCUCUCAGAAGAGCUGGAAGGGGACAACUUUCACAACAUAAAACAAGCAACGUUCUAAGGGGUAUGAGGAAAAAAAACAGGGAAAUUAAAGAGAGGAGAUUGUAAGUCUUCUUUAAUCAGGUUGAGAAACACUUUAAUGGACUCAAAGAAAGGUGCAGGCGUGAGAAGAAACUACCAAGUUGGCUGGGAGAUUACAUCCGUUAGACUUGGAGCCAUAAAUAAGAGAAUAUAUCAUUUUAUUUACUUUACUAAUUUUCUAUAUGUAAUUGAACAUUGAUAGAUGAUUUGUGUGUGAUUGUCUAUUAACCUAGUCUUUCUUGAAGAUA